rnacentral:lncRNA from 1 species
ACGGAAUGUGUUUGCCAGAACAAUGCGGGAGUUGCAGAGAGAGGUGUCCUGUGUUUGUUCCCAGUCUUCCUUCACUCACCUGCACCUGCUCCUGCCCUGCUUCGGCCAACAUGUUCUAUGCAGAGUCUUAGAGGCAAGAUUAGAAUGUUCAUCUAAAAGGAGUGCAAAUUUCUUCAACCAUUCCCACGGAGGAAGGUCUACUCUGUGAAAAGGAAAUGAUCAUACAUAAUUCAUGCAUUUGCUGUACGGAUUUAAUUAAAUGAUAGACAAAAAGUAGAGUGGCACAAGUCAAACUCAAAAAAUAGUAACAACAAAAUCAAUUUCAAAAUAAGCAACAGCAAUAAAUGUUACCUACUAUUUUACGAAUGAAAAUACUGAGACCAAUAAAGGCAUUAUAGUAUACAUAGCCUUGGAAUCAGAAGACCAAGAACAUACAAGAGAACAUAGCCUUGGAAUCAGAAGACCAAGAAACAAUUUAACUCUGCCCCUCUAGAGCUCUGAGAACUUGGGCAAGCCUUUUACCCUCUUGAAUUUUUGCCACCUUCAAUGAGAAAGACUGAAACAAAAAACUCAGAAGAAAGAAAGAGACUGAGAUAGCAAAUAUGACAAACUGUUAAAAAUUCAUGAAUCUGUUAUGGAAUACUAUGCAGCCAUAAAAAAGGAUGAGUUCCUGUCCUUUGCAAGGACGUGUAUGAAGCUGGAAACCAUCAUUCUGAGCAAACUAAAACAGGAACAGAAAACCAAACACCACAUGUUCUCACUCAUAAGUGGGAGUUGAACAAUGAGAACACAUGGACACGGCGGGGUGGUGGGAACAUCACACACCGGGGCCUGUCAGAGGGGAGGGGGCUAGGGGAGAGAUAGCAUUAGGAGAAAUACCUAAUGUAGAUGAUGGGUUGAUGGGUGCAGCAAACCACCAUGGCAUGUGUAUACCUAUGUAACAAACCUGCAUGUUCUGCACAUGUAUCCCAGAACUUAAAGUAUAAUAAUAAAAAGAGAGAUUAAAAAAAUUGGUGAAUCUGGGCAAAAUGUACACAGGAUUUUUCUGUACUGUUCUUGCAACUUUUCUACAGAUUUGAAAUGUUACAAAAUAAAAGGUAUUUUUAGAAAAAGA